AUGCUCCGAAUCUGCUUAAGAUUCUCUUUCUCUGUCUCUACCCCAGCCUCCCACCACCUGCACUCACAGGCAUGGUGCUCUCUCCGGUAGGAGGGGGCGGGGAGAAAAGGUUAUAAAAACAAAUUCGCAUUGGGCCCUGCAGCACUGGAAGACACUUAUAAAACACUGGUUUGUAGAAGGUUGCUCGUAUUAAAUCAUCAUUCUUUACCUCUAUCCCUUUCAGGUUCGAUUUGCCGCUCUGAUUACCGUGUUAGCGCUGGCUGAGAAACUAAAGGAGAAUUAUAUUGUCUUGCUACCAGAGUCCAUUCCUUUCUUAGCUGAAUUGAUGGAAGAUGAAUGUGAAGAAGUAGAACAUCAGUGCCAAAAGACUAUUCAGCAACUGGAAGCUAUACUGGGAGAGCCGCUCCAGAGCUACUUCUAAACCUUGGGCUUUUGGUGUUUCUUCUUUCUUCCUCUGUGCAGAGGUCAGAUUUAUUUUUCAUAUUUUUAUUUUUGGGUGUUUGGUACCAUAUUACCUUUUGGUACCCUGACCCCUAUGCGGACUCCUUUAUAAAAUUCCUGCCUAGUUUGUGCUCCUGUAGAGCCUCUCCCACCCCCUGUACAGAAUGGCCGUGAGAGUAAAUGGUACCCGGUGUUUGUA